rnacentral:rRNA from 1 species
UACGUAGGGGGCAAGCGUUGUCCGGAAUCAUUGGGCGUAAAGCGCGUGUAGGCGGCCAGAUAAGUCCGCUGUGAAAUCUCGAGGCUCAACUUCGAGCUGUCGGUGGAAACUGUCUGGCUAGAGUCCGGAAGAGGAGAAUGGAAUUCCUAGUGUAGAGGUGAAAUUCGUAGAUAUUAGGAAGAACACCGGUGGCGAAGGCGGCCCACUGGAUCGGUACUGACGCUGAGGUGCGAAAGCGUGGGGAGCAAACAGG